rnacentral:rRNA from 1 species
CCGCAUAGUAAGAAGAAUUCGCAUGUUUUCUUCUUGAAAGAUUUAUCGCUAUGAGAUGGACCCGCGUCUGAUUAGCUAGUUGGUAAGGUAACGGCUUACCAAGGCGACGAUCAGUAGCCGGCUUGAGAGAGUGAACGGCCACAUUGGGACUGAGACACGGCCCAAACUCCUACGGGAGGCAGCAGUGGGGAAUAUUGCACAAUGGGGGAAACCCUGAUGCAGCGACGCCGCGUGAGUGAAGAAGUAUUUCGGUAUGUAAAGCUCUAUCAGCAGGGAAGAUAAUGACGGUACCUGACUAAGAAGCCCCGGCUAACUACGUGCCAGCAGCCGCGGUAAUACGUAGGGGGCAAGCGUUAUCCGGAUUUACUGGGUGUAAAGGGUGCGUAGGUGGCAAGGCAAGUCAGAUGUGAAAGCCCGGGGCUCAACCCCGGUACUGCAUUUGAAACUGUCUAGCUAGAGUGCAGGAGAGGUAAGCGGAAUUCCUAGUGUAGCGGUGAAAUGCGUAGAUAUUAGGAGGAAC